rnacentral:rRNA from 1 species
UACGGAGGGAGCUAGCGUUGUUCGGAAUUACUGGGCGUAAAGCGCACGUAGGCGGUUAUUCAAGUCAGAGGUGAAAGCCCGGGGCUCAACCCCGGAACGGCCUUUGAAACUAGAUAGCUAGAAUCUUGGAGAGGUCAGUGGAAUCCGAGUGUAGAGGUGAAAUUCGUAGAUAUUCGGAAGAACACCAGUGGCGAAGGCGACUGACUGGACAAGUAUUGACGCUGAGGUGCGAAAGCGUGGGGAGCAAACA